GCGUAGCUCAGUUGGUUAGAGUGUGGUGUUGAUAACACCAAGGUCACAGGUUUGGUCCCUGUAUGGGACA